UUUUCUCAUACUUUUAGGUGUAAGGUUAAAUUGUUUAUUUGAGAUUUUUCUUGUUUCCUGAGAUGGGCCUGUAUCACUAUGGACUUCCCCCUGAGAACUGUUUUUGCUGCAUCCCAUACAUUUUGGAGUAUUGUGUCUCCAUUUUCAUCUGUCUCAAGAUACUAUUGUUUUC